rnacentral:snRNA from 1 species
AGGCUCACCUUGGCAGCACAUAUACUAAAAUUGGAAAGAUACAGAGAUGAUUAGCAUGGUCCCUGUGCAAAGAUGACACACAAAUUUGUGGAGCAUUCUAUAUAUAU